AACCCUUCCAAAAUGGGCGAAAAUGCUUAUAUUUGGAGUGCCGGCUUGUCCGGCUAUGACGCUAAACGCUUUGCGGAAUAGACGUAGCGGACCCGGGGGCGGUACCCGGCGCCUCCACCAGGAGCGCAUUUUUGGCCGAAUCACUAGCAACUGGCCCAAGGAUGUGUUGCUGAUGGGGGCGAAAUAGGAUCGACGCGCGUAAUAAAGGCACGGUUUGCGUUCGGCAUGGCUCCGCCGUUAUCGGGCCAUAUCUACAAGUGCCAAUGAUAAUGAAAUGGUGCUCGCUGCCUAAUUGAAAGGUAAGCGCGGUUUCGGGGGGCACCGGGCAACAGAAGCCCCCCACU
rnacentral:tmRNA from 1 species